ensembl:lncRNA
GCCAGAUUAUUUUUAACAUUGCAUAUGCCUAACAUUAUGUGAUAAUACUAAUCACACUCAUAUUGCCUUUCUCUUUCAGUUUAUGAAGAAAUGGCGCCCAGGAAGGUAGGACGGAAGCGUAAGGCCCUGCAGGUGGCCAAAGGUGGGCCAUCUGCAAAGUUAUCAAUUUUCCACCAGUCACCACUGUGCUACGAGCUGUGCACAACCCCAUCUAGCCCUGCUGCCCCAUCCGGCCCUGCUGCUCCACCAAGCCCUGCUGCCCCAUCCCAGCCGGCAUUUCAGAAUGUCCACAGCCUGUUGAGGACAUGCUCGGGGCAUCGAAGCAAAAGAUACCAGAUAACGGUGGAGGAGAUCAGGAGGAGGACUGCUCCACCUGAGAGCAUGUCCAUAAACACCCUCACUGCGCUCCUGAGAACUAACAAAAAUUUGAAGAGGGACCUCAGGCAGCAGCUGCAGGAGGUCGGGGUGACUCCGGGCACAGUGACCAAAGUGGACACUGGCAAACACUGUACA